UGGGGAAUUUUGGACAAUGGGGGCAACCCUGAUCCAGCCAUGCCGCGUGAGUGAAGAAGGCCUUCGGGUUGUAAAGCUCUUUCAGCCGGGAAGAAAUCGCAUGGGUUAAUACCCUGUGUGGAUGACGGUACCGGAAUAAGAAGCACCGGCUAACUACGUGCCAGCAGCCGCGGUAAUACGUAGGGUGCGAGCGUUAAUCGGAAUUACUGGGCGUAAAGCGUGCGCAGGCGGUUUAGUAAGACAGGCGUGAAAUCCCCGGGCUCAACCUGGGAACUGCGCUUAUGACUGCUAAGCUAGAGUACGGCAGAGGGGGGUGGAAUUCCACGUGUAGCAGUGAAAUGCGUAGAGAUGUGGAGGAACACCGAUGGCGAAGGCAGCCCCCUGGGCCGAUACUGACGCUCAUGCACGAAAGCGUGGGUAGCAAACA
rnacentral:rRNA from 1 species